AUGGGGACCUGUAUGAAUGGCAUAACGAGGGUUUAACUGUCUCCUUUUCCAAGUUAAUGAAAUUGAUCCCCCCGCGCAGAAGCGGGGAUAAAAACAUAAGACGAGAAGACCCUAUGGAGCUUUAGGCAACAAGCAGACCGUAAUAAACAUCCCUUACAAAGGAACAAGACAUACUGAACCUGACCCAAUGCC
rnacentral:rRNA from 1 species